rnacentral:lncRNA from 1 species
UAGAUUCUAAGUCCAUACCCCUAACCUAAAAAAGGAGAGAUCCCGGGAACAGAGCAAACACUAAGACCCUAGAGAACCAAAGAAGCUUAGGCGCCGCAAUACACAAUAGACGCCCCCUCCCCCCGAACAUUCUCCUUCUUCGAUCAAGAAAAAUCAAAUGCCUAGGACCUAAGCACCUAGAAGGGGAGGGAUCAAAAAUUUCCAGCGGCUUCUUCACUUCGUCAACCAUGACCCUUCAGCCUCUUCUUCUUCGUUUGAACCUGGACACUCAUCAGCAGCCAUCUCCAACAGCACACCCAAACUCAGCUCUCUGAAAAAUCUGUGGCUUCAGUGACCCUCCAUUGAAUCCGGAGAAGUAGAGUUCGAACCCAGCAGUAAGUCCAGCCCCAAACUACCUGAAACUACACCAGACCAGUGUACAGAUCAGUUUGAAAUCUCCACCCAAAUCCAGUCUAGUUUGGUCUGUUCAGUUCCAUUCGAGAUUCCGGUGAGGUUCCGGUGCUACUACAGUUUUUGUUGGAGUUUGUGUGUAUUAGUCGAGCGUCGAAACAAUAUUGUGAAUGAAGUUGUGUUUCAUCGGAAGUUCAGAUUCAUAUUUUUUAGAUUCGUUUCUUGUCUCAACCUUGAUUAAUUCUGAUUUAGCGUUCAGAUGAUAUGGAUUUGGUGCUUGAAUGAAACAAUAUUCUUGGCUCAUAAUAACAUUUGUCUCUAUGCUUGCCUACUAUUCAUUUUGGUUGUUUAUGUGUAAGAUAUUUCUAUGAUUAACAUUUAUUGUGACUUAGGAAUA